UUUGCACAUGGUUAGAGCUCAAAGCUGAGCCGCUGGCUGGCCAAUGGACUUACAAGUGCAGUGUGCUAUAUGAGGCGCAAGUCUUUUGCCGACACCACAAGGGUCUCUAGCCCAAUGAGUAGAAUUUGGUAGUAAUUCUAGUUAAAAGA